UUAGAGAUCAAAAGAUCAACGCACGAGCCCCUGCAAUAUUAAGGGGGCCCCCUUAUCUUCUGUAGUUCUUUUCUGUUGGAGCUUUUAGCCAAGUCAGAUUUAGUAAAUUCCCUCUCUCAGUAAUCUUUCGCGUGCACUUCGUUUCGUGUCCUAAUCGACUUAAAAAGUAAGUAAAAUACUCUAAAUAGCGUAUCCUUGUAUUUGUUGUUCAUGAAGGACAGUUGGUUGGCUUGUUAGCUUAUAAUAUUGAAGAAUAUUGCUCUUUGCCAUUUUGUGAUUUUUGUCCACGUGGGCAGUAUAUACUGUAUUUAUAAAGAAGGAACAUGAUAGAAUGCUUGUGAUACAUGUACCCAGAGUAAGGGGCUGUUUAUAUGGAAGCGAGCUAGCCCGGGUACCCGAGCUAACUCACUUCCCCAAGAUGAAUUUCACCAGGCAAAUAUACAUGAAACUUUUGGGGCGGGCCGGCGGGCUGACUUGUGAAAACAAAUACAAUUUUUUGUGGGAAAGUCAAUUUGGAUUUUGGGCAUGUGCACACAGACAUUAUUUUACUUAAAAGCCAAACCAGCUCGGGUAAAUGUGUUUAUAUGGAAAACUACCCAGCCCAUUUACCCAAGGUCUCUGGUCACACAAAGCGGGACGCCGGUAAGAAGGGCUGCUCGGUUCUCAUAUAAACACAAGAGCCCUUUGACCUUUGGAAUACUAGCCCAAUGCUCUGCCAACUGAGCUACGCGGUCAGGACGGUUCGAGUAGUUGGCAGAGCAUUGGGCUAGUAUUCCAAAGGUUGUAGGUUCGAUUCCCACCGUGGCCGGGCAUAUUUUUCAAGCUCGCCCGGUGUGGAUAUACACUCAGAGUAACAUCACAAACAUCACUGUAAAACAUGUUUGACUGUGAUAGGGUGUCAUACAUGCAAUAUAUAUUUUCUAUAUAAUUUAUCCCCCAGAUAGAUUGUCUAUUAAGAUAGAUAGAAUUUUACACAACCAUGUUUUGCUCUCAUAACAGUUACUGGAUGCUUGGCAACCUAUCUAUUACAUGUACAUUCCAUAUAGGGUUUAUUUAUGCUUAUAUUUGGUUCUCACAGUACAUUUUUGGCUUAUUGAGGUGGUAGGGUGUUUUUAAUACAUCCACUUUGAGCGUUGAAUUUAGUUUAAAUUUGUUUGACAUACUAUUCUUUGCAGAUGCGUUACGUGGCCGCAUACCUGUUAGCCAACCUUGGUGGUAAUGAUUCACCUUCAGUAAAAGACAUCAAGAAAAUCUUGGAAAGUGUGGGAGUCGAUGUUGAUGAUGAAAAGCUGAAAAAAGUUGUGUCAGAAUUAGAUGGAAAAGAUGUCAAUGAGGUAUUUAUCCUGCCUCCUAUUUCAAGCCCAUCUCUAAUUAGCCUCCCCUAGGCCUCCUACCCUUUUGAGAGGAAGAGUAUUACUCCAAGCCUUCUCUCCA